GAUGAACGCUGGCGGCGUGCCUAAUACAUGCCAGUCGAGCGAACAGACGAGGAGCUUGCUCCUCUGACGUUAGCGGCGGACGGGUGAGUAACACGUGGAUAACCUACCUAUAAGACUGGGAUAACUUCGGGAAACCGGAGCUAAUACCGGAUAAUAUAUUGAACCGCAUGGUUCAAUAGUGAAAGACGGUUUUGCUGUCACUUAUAGAUGGAUCCGCGCCGCAUUAGCUAGUUGGUAAGGUAACGGCUUACCAAGGCAACGAUGCGUAGCCGACCUGAGAGGGUGAUCGGCCACACUGGAACUGAGACACGGUCCAGACUCCUACGGGAGGCAGCAGUAGGGAAUCUUCCGCAAUGGGCGAAAUCCUGACGGAGCAACGCCGCGUGAGUGAUGAAGGUCUUCGGAUCGUAAAACUCUGUUAUUAGGGAAGAACAAAUGUGUAAGUAACUAUGCACGUCUUGACGGUACCUAAUCAGAAAGCCACGGCUAACUACGUG
rnacentral:rRNA from 1 species